CCAGCAGCCGCGGUAAUUCCAGCUCCAAUAGCGUAUAUUUAAGUUGCUGCAGUUAAAAAGCUCGUAGUUGGAUUUCGGAUGGGAUUUGCCGGUCCGCCGUUUCGGUGUGCACUGGCCAGUCCCAUCUUGUUGUCGGGGACUAGCUCCUGGGCUUCACUGUCCGGGACUAGGAGCUGACGAGGUUACUUUGAGUAAAUUAGAGUGUUCAAAGCAAGCCUACGCUCUGAAUACAUUAGCAUGGAAUAACAUGAUAGGACUCUGGCUUAUCUUGUUGGUCUGUGAGACCAGAGUAAUGAUUAAGAGGGACAGUCGGGGGCAUUCGUAUUUCAUUGUCAGAGGUGAAAUUCUUGGAUUUAUGAAAGACGAACUUC
rnacentral:rRNA from 1 species